rnacentral:rRNA from 1 species
CCAAUAGCGUAUACUAAAGUUGUUGCAGUUAAAAAGCUCGUAGUUGAACCUCGGGAUCAAUGGAUCGGUCAUGCCAUCGGUAUGUACUGGUCUCAUUGGUUCUCACCUUCUAAGGAACCAUGAUGUCAUUCAGUUGAUGUUGUGGGGAAUUAGGACUGUUACCUUGAAAAAAUUAGAGUGUUUAAAGCAGGCUAACGCUUGAAUACAUUAGCAUGGAAUAAUGAAAUAGGACAUCGCAUUCUAUUUUGUUGGUUUCUAGGAUCGAUGUAAUGAUUAAUAGGGAUAGUUGGGGGCAUUAGUAUUCAAUUGUCAGAGGUGAAAUUCUUGGAUUUAUUGAAGACUAACUACUGCGAAAGCAUUUGCCAAGGAUGUUUUCAUUAAUCAAGAACGAAAGUUAGGGGAUCGAAGACGAUCAGAUACCGUCGUAGUCUUAACCAUAAACUAUGCCAACUAGGGAUCGGAUGAUGUUGAUUUUUUAAUGACUCAUUCGGCACCUUACG